CCUACGGGUGGCAGCAGUAGGGAAUAUUGCUCAAUGGGGGAAACCCUGAUGCAGCAACGCCGCGUGGGUGAUGAAGUAUUUCGGAUUGUAAACCCCUAUCAGCAGGGAAGAAGAUGACGGUAUCUGAGGAAGAAGCACCGGCUAACUACGUGCCAGCAGCCGCGGUAAUACGUAGGGGGCAAGCGUUAUCCGGAUUUACUGGGCGUAAAGAGCGCGUAGACGGGGAGACAAGUCUGAUGUGAAAGCCUGGGGCUUAACCCCAGGACUGCUUUUGAAACUGUCAUACUGGAGUGCUGGAGAGGCAGGUGGAAUUCUUAGUGUAGGGGUGAAAUCCGUAGAGAUCAGGAGGAAUACCAGUUGCGAAGGCGACCUGCUAGAAAAUAACUGACGCUGAUGCUCGAAAGCGUGGGGAGCAAACAGGAUUAGAUACCCGGGUAGUC
rnacentral:rRNA from 1 species